UGGGUCACAUAUGGGGCUGACUGCACCUC
rnacentral:piRNA from 1 species